rnacentral:rRNA from 1 species
CUGACGGUAGUCGUAUGCUCGUCUCCGAGACUAAGCCAUGCAAGUCCAAGUACACGUCCUUGAACGACGGAAACUGCGAACGGCUCAUUAAAUCAGUUGCGAUCUACUCGGCGUUCCGCGCCGCCGGAUAACCGUAGUAAUUCUAGGGCUAAUACGUGCGAAGCGCCCGAAGCCGCGAGGCGACGGGCGUUCUCGCCGGAUGUAGGAACCGACCCGGGGACCGCCGGGGCAACCCGGCGCCCCCGAGACGGGGCGAACCACGGUGAAAUGACGGAUCGUCGGCCCCGCGCCGGCGACUCGCCGAAUGAGUUUCUGACCUAUCAACUCGAGACGGCGGGGUAGAGGCCCGCCGCGGUAACGACGGGUAACGGGGAAUCAGGGUUCGAUUCCGGAGAGGGAGCCCGAGAAACGGCUACUAUUUCUAAGGAAAGCAGCAGGCGCGCAAAAUUAUUCAAUGGAAACAAUUUUCCGAAAUAGUGACAAAAAAUAUCAAUGCUAGGUACUAUGUAUUUAGUAAUUGGAAUGAGUACAAUUUAAAUCCUUAACAAGUAACAAUUAGAGGGCAAGUCUGGUG